UGGGUGGGGAGAACGGAACUACAAGUUUUUACUCGUGGAGAUAACUGUAUCCUUUUGUUGCGCAAAGGCAAUGAGUAUCUACAAUGUAAUUAUUACGGUUUGGAUAUGAAACUCCGCAGACCGGCUUAUGUGAUGAACACCUGGCCUCAGAAGGCUGUGGAUACUCCAGAAGCUGACCAUACAGAACUUCUCCUCCAGCCUUCUUCCCCAUCCAUGAUGUUUUCCCAGACCCCAGCUGCAGGAGCCUGGGUACCAGCCAGUGAAGCCUGCCAGAGAAGAAGGGAGGCCCGUGAAGCAGCUCCUGCUUCCUGACCUGCUUGAGUUCCAGUCCUGACUUCCUUUGGUGAUGAGCAGCAAUGUGGAAGUGUAAGCUGAAUAAACCCUUUCCUCCCCAA